AAAGGGGAUUCCGUAGGUACGGCGAGUGAGCGGGAAGAGCUCAACAUUGUAAUCUGGCUGCUUCGCAGUCCGAGUUGUAGUCUAUAGAAGCAUGAUCCGCGCCGGCCCUUGGGCAUGUCUGUUGGAACGCAGUGUCAAAGAGGGUGAAAAUCCCGUACAUACCAAGGACGACCGUGUGCAUUGUGGUCUGCUCUCUAAGAGUCGAGUUGUUUGGGAAUGCAGCUCUAAUUGGGUGGUAAAUUCCAUCUAAAGCUAAAUAUCGACGAGAGACCGAUAGCGAACAAGUACAGUAAUGGAAAGAUGAAAAGUAGCCUGCAGAGGCAAUGAAACAAUACGUGAAACCGUUUGUAGGGAAGCGAUGGAACCUUUUCACGCUGCGAGGGUUCAGCUUGGCUUCGGCUUAGUGUAUUCCCUCGUUUUGCGGACCAGCAUCAGUUUGCUUCGCAGUAUAAGGGUGAUUGGAACGUGGCUUCUCCGGAAGUGUUAUAGCCUUUCACUGGAUGCUGUGUCGCAGACUGAGGACUGCAGUGCGCCGUAAGGCAUGGUCUUCGGGCCACGAGCACUUAGGAUGCUGGGCGAAUGGGUUUCAACGACCCGUCUUGAACACACGGAC
rnacentral:rRNA from 1 species